rnacentral:rRNA from 1 species
AUUGAACGCUGGCGGAAUGCUUUACACAUGCAAGUCGAGCGGCAGCGCGGGGGCAACCCUGGCGGCGAGCGGCGAACGGGUGAGUAACAUAUCGGAACGUACCCCGUCGUGGGGGAUAACACAGCGAAAGCUGUGCUAAUACCGCAUACGACCUGAGGGUGAAAGCGGGGGAUCGCAAGACCUCGCGCGAUGGGAGCGGCCGAUAUCGGAUUAGCUUGUUGGUGAGGUAAAGGCUCACCAAGGCGACGAUCCGUAGCUGGUCUGAGAGGACGACCAGCCACACUGGAACUGAGACACGGUCCAGACUCCUACGGGAGGCAGCAGUGGGGAAUUUUGGACAAUGGGGGGCAACCCUGAUCCAGCCAUUCCGCGUGAGUGAAGAAGGCCUUCGGUU